rnacentral:rRNA from 1 species
GACGAACGCCGGCGGCGUGCUUAACACAUGCAAGUCGAACGGAAAGGCCCUGCUUUUGUGGGGUGCUCGAGUGGCGAACGGGUGAGUAACACGUGAGUAACCUGCCCUUGACUUUGGGAUAACUUCAGGAAACUGGGGCUAAUACCGGAUAGGAGCUCCUGCUGCAUGGUGGGGGUUGGAAAGUUUCGGCGGUUGGGGAUGGACUCGCGGCUUAUCAGCUUGUUGGUGGGGUAGUGGCUUACCAAGGCUUUGACGGGUAGCCGGCCUGUGAGGGUGACCGGCCACAUUGGGACUGAGAUACGGCCCAGACUCCUACGGGAGGCAGCAGUGGGGAAUAUAGCACAAUGGGCGGAAGCCUGAUGCAGCAACGCCGCGUGCGGGAUGACGGCCUUCGGGUUGUAAACCGCUUUGGCCUGUGACGAAGCGUGAGUGACGGUAAUGGGUAAAGAAGCACCGGCUAACUACGUG